rnacentral:lncRNA from 1 species
CCAGUGCUACUCUACAAAAUGUCUGGAGACUCCAGGACCUCCAGGUCCACCGGGACUCAGGGGACAGAAAGGAGCUAAAGGCGAUAAUGGUGACCCCGGUCUUAAAGGUCAAAGAGGACGUCCUGGAGAUCCAGGUAUUGAGGGACCCAUUGGACAUCCUGGACCUAAAGGAGAGACUGGUCUCAGAGGUGAAAAGGGAGAAAUUGGAGCACAAGGGAGGAAGGGUGUUGCAGGAAUACUGGGCCGAAAUGGAACAGAUGGGCAGAAGGGAAAAAUUGGCAGGAUCGGCGCUCCUGGCUGCAAAGGUGACCCCGGCGACAAGGGUCCUGAUGGCUAUCCUGGAGAUGUUGGAGAACCUGGUCUUGCAGGGGCUCUGGGAGAAAAGGGCGAUCCAGGUCGUCCAGGAAGACCAGGUCCACUUGGGCCAGCUGGAGAUCCUGGACCCAAAGGAGAGAGAGGAAGUUCCGGAACACCUGGAAUUCCUGGCCAGAAAGGAUCUGCUGGUACAGCUGGAGGACCUGGACCUAAAGGCGACCCUGGAAGACGAGGAGACUUUGGGCCUAAAGGCAGCACCGGAAAUAAUGGGCCAAAAGGAGAAAAGGGUGAACCAGGUUCUGAGGGACCCAGGGGUCUUUCGGGCGAAGCUGGCAACAAAGGAUCCAAGGGUGAUAACGGACUUCCAGGACCAAGAGGCCCACCAGGAGGUCCUGGAGAACCAGGCAGAAAUGGUUCCCAAGGUGACGCAGGUGAUUCUGGCCCUAGAGGUGAUCCUGGCUCUCUAGGACCAAAGGUACUUCACACACAAAAAAUCUGAUGGUUUUAAAAUCAAUGCUUGCAUGUCUGUUGUAAAUACAAUAUACUGAUUAUUUUGCCGAAGGGUGAUUCUGGCAGACCUGGAUUCAGCUAUCCUGGAUCAAGGGGAGCUACGGUACCGUAAUGAGUUAAAUUUGUACUUGUACUGAGAGAAAUUUCAAUUCAGAGCUUUAGAUCACAUUAUAUUUUAUAUUUUACAAAUAAAUAUAAUAAAUAUGUGUUUAACA